GCGUAGGAAUGUACCCCAAAGUGAGGAAUAACUGGCCCGAAAGGGUGGCUAAUGCCGCAUAUGGUCUAAGGAUUAAAGGAUUUAUCCGCUUUGGGAGCAGCCUGCGUAUGAUUAGUUAGUUGGUGAGGUAAAAGCUCACCAAGACGACGAUCAUUAGCUGGUCUGAGAGGAUGAUCAGCCAGACUGGGACUGAGACACGGCCCAGACUCCUACGGGAGGCAGCAGUAGGGAAUCUUCCACAAUGGACGAAAGUCUGAUGGAGCAACGCCGCGUGCAGGAUGACGGCCUUGGUUGUAACUG
rnacentral:rRNA from 1 species